ACGGAGGGUGCAAGCGUUACUCGGAAUCACUGGGCGUAAAGCGCGCGCAGGCGGGUUUGUAAGUUGGAUGUGAAAUCCUAUGGCUCAACCAUAGAACUGCAUCCAAAACUACUUACCUAGAGUCUGGGAGGGGAAGAUGGAAUUAGUUGUGUAGGGGUAAAAUCCGUAGAGAUAACUAGGAAUACCAAAAGCGAAGGCGAUCUUCUGGAACAGUACUGACGCUGAGGCGCGAAAGCGUGGGGAGCAAACAGG
rnacentral:rRNA from 1 species